GACGAACGCUGGCGGCGUGCUUAACACAUGCAAGUCGAACGGAAAGGCCCUGCUUUUGUGGGGUGCUCGAGUGGCGAACGGGUGAGUAACACGUGAGUAACCUGUCCUUGACUUUUGGAUAACUUCAGGAAACUGGGGCUAAUACCGGAUAGGAGCUCCUGCUGCAUGGUGGGGGUUGGAAAGUUUCGGCGGUUGGGGAUGGACUCGCGGCUUAUCAGCUUGUUGGUGGGGUAGUGGCUUACCAAGGCUUUGACGGGUAGCCGGCCUGAGAGGGUGACCGGCCACAUUGGGACUGAGAUACGGCCCAGACUCCUACGGGAGGCAGCAGUGGGGAAUAUUGCACAAUGGGCGGAAGCCUGAUGCAGCAACGCCGCGUGCGGGAUGACGGCCUUCGGGUUGUAAACCGCUUUCGCCUGUGACGAAGCGUGAGUGACGGUAAUGGGUAAAGAAGCACCGGCUAACUACGUG
rnacentral:rRNA from 1 species